rnacentral:rRNA from 1 species
UGGGGAAUAUUGGACAAUGGAGGAAACUCUGAUCCAGCAAUUCUGUGUGUGUGAAGAAGGUUUUAGGACUGUAAAACACUUUUAGUAGGGAAGAAAAAAAUGACGGUACCUACAGAAGAAGCAACGGCUAAAUACGUGCCAGCAGCCGCGGUAAUACGGAAGGUUCGGGCGUUAUCCGGAUUUAUUGGGUUUAAAGGGAGCGUAGGCCGUUUGGUAAGCGUGUUGUGAAAUGUAGGAGCUCAACUUCUAGAUUGCAGCGCGAACUGUCAGACUUGAGUGCGCACAACGUAGGCGGAAUUCAUGGUGUAGCGGUGAAAUGCUUAGAUAUCAUGAAGAACUCCGAUUGCGAAGGCAGCUUACGGGAGCGCAACUGACGCUGAAGCUCGAAGGUGCGGGUAUCGAACAGG